rnacentral:rRNA from 1 species
CCGGUUGUGACGCCAGUCGCAUCGCCGGGUAGCUAUGUUCGGAAGGGAUAACCGCUGAAAGCAUCUAAGCGGGAAGCCUACCUCAAGAUAAGAUUUCCCUAGGACUUUAUGUCCUCUAAAGAGCCGUUCGAGACUAGGACGUUGAUAGGUUGGAUGUGGAAGCAUAGUGAUAUGUGAAGCUGACCAAUACUAAUUGCUCGUGAGGCUUGACUAUACAACACCCAAGCAGUUG